UGGGGAAUCUUGCGCAAUGGGGGAAACCCUGACGCAGCGACGCCGCGUGAGUGAUGAAGGCCUUCGGGUCGUAAAGCUCUGUGGGGAGGGACGAAUAAGUAUUGGCUAACAUCCAAUAUGAUGACGGUACCUCCUUAGCAAGCACCGGCUAACUCUGUGCCAGCAGCCGCGGUAAUACAGAGGGUGCAAGCGUUAAUCGGAAUGACUGGGCGUAAAGGGCGCGUAGGUGGAUACGUAAGUAAAUUGUGAAAGACCCGGGCUUAACCUGGGAAGGUCAAUUUAAACGGCGUGUCUGGAGUGGAGUAGAGGGAAGUAGAAUUUCCGGUGUAGCGGUGAAAUGCGUAGAUAUCGGAAGGAAUACCGGUGGCGAAGGCGUCUUCCUGGACUCUAACUGACACUGAGGCGCGAAAGCAUGGGGAUCAAACAGGAUUAGAUACCCCAGUAGUCCCUGAGCGGGCUGGCAAGGCGCAU
rnacentral:rRNA from 1 species